GAGCGGACCACCAGGAACUGCUUAACCCGGGAUUUGUCCUGUUUAGGCAACGGGGAGGACGUGGUGGUUGUUGUUGAUGCCUUGAAGGAAACGGCAAGUUACUUAAUUACAAGGUUUGGUCUCCCUUGCCAGGAGAGACCCCCUCCAAACCCGAAACUGUACACAUCCUGCGGCAGAAUUGUCCCCCUAAAUUCCUGGACACGAAUGGCCUUGGUGGGCUGUGGAGUGUGAGUUCCUCUGAAAUGCACCGGUGUGCCUUUCUCAAUGUUCUGCUCACUUAAGUGGAUCCCUAAAUUAGACCUUAAAAGCAGCGGAAGUCCCCCAGCAGCCGGGAGGGAGAACGUCACAGAACCCACUGUGUAAUCCUGGCCAGGUUCUGGGCACAGGCUGCUUCCUGGGCUUUCCGAAUGCCAUGGAAGUGAACACCGGGAUGCCUCUUCCUGUGCCUCUGGUCUCCCCAUGCCCCCCGGUGCUAGUGGGGAAAAAGCCCCUUGGGGUCACAGUGGGCCCCUGAGGGGUCCCAGGCCAGGCCAACCGCGGGGACAGGAGCACCCCAAAGGGAGAGAGCCGUGCUAGGAAGAAGCUGCAGGCUGGCCGAGGUGCCCCUAUGCGGUGCCAGUGGGCCCAGGGUGGCAUCCCCCACAGCCAGCCCCACCCCAGGUCAGACGGCACCAGAGUGAGCCUCCGGGCUUCACCGCCCCCCACCCCCCGUCCCCCCUGCCGUGCAUCUGGACAACGACCGUCACAGAAGACGUGGAUUCUGACAAGGAUUAUUUCUGUUGAUGGCAGAGGUGCUUCUAUUAGGCACCCAGCCAGACGUGCCCCAGCAGGGAGAAUAUUCCAGACUCUUUUAGAAGGCUGCCUGAGGGGAUUUGGAUGCUUUACGGGGCCAGCUUGGAUGCUCCUCCUUGUGGCCAUUCUCUGGAGGUGAGUGUGCCAGGUUUGCUGAGCCUAGGAGUGGGCUGGAAAGCCCUCUUCCCCAGAGGUAGCGGAGGGUCUGGAUGGCGGAGGAGAGCCCAGAGGGCCGGCUCUGUGUUUGGUGAAUAAACAUGGGAGUCGGGUUUCUGGCCUGUCACUCUGCAGCUUUUCAGCGAGUGAGGGGCCAGGUGGGCCGGAGGGAGUUCCCGCGGCGGCACAUGAAGAGGCCAGGGCCUGCGGGGGCUGGGGCCCGGGCAGGGCCCGCUCUGGGCAGCCAGCGGAGCGGGCCUUUGCAGGCCACGGAACUUCACACCUUUGAAAGGCUCCAGAGCGGCACGCAGAGAAAAUAAACCGUUCCUCCCAUCCGUGGCAGGUCUGCCAUCCUCAGGGGCUCCCCGUCAUGCACACGGAAACCCUGUAAAAGGGCCCAGUGUUUCCUUUUCCACUCCCCAAAAGGAUGCGUGCUGAGCCCUGAGGACUGUCGGGGGUGGGUGACAGGGCUCUAUCCCGGCCAGGGAAGCCUGGUUCCAGCGCCGCUCCUGCUGGGAUAAGCCACCCCAGCUCUCCGAGUGUUGCUUUGCACAUCUGGAAAACAGGAAGAAAAAUACCUCCCUUUGAGUGUUAUUCUGCGUGUGUCCGACGGCAAAAUAGGGCAUAUAUGUGAACGCACCUAGCCCACAGUGGAUGCUUCAUCAAUGUGUCCCUCCUUUCCCCUCCCCAUAACCUAAAGCAAGUCUGAGUUCACCUCAGAGCCUCGGUU